rnacentral:rRNA from 1 species
UUUUGGACAUGGGGGAAACCCUGAUCCAGCCAUUCCGCGUGCGCGAUGAAGGCCUUCGGGUUGUAAAGCACUUUUGGCAGGAAAGAAAUCGCACAGUUAAUACUUUGUGUGGAUGACGGUACCUGCAGAAUAAGCACCGGCUAACUACGCGAUGUGCCUCUGUAGGAGAUUU